GCUCAUGGCUCAGGAUGAACGCUAGCUACAGGCUUAACACAUGCAAGUCGAGGGGCAGCAUGGUCUUAGCUUGCUAAGGCUGAUGGCGACCGGCGCACGGGUGAGUAACACGUAUCCAACCUGCCGUCUACUCUUGGCCAGCCUUCUGAAAGGAAGAUUAAUCCAGGAUGGCAUCAUGAGUUCACAUGUCCGCAUGAUUAAAGGUGUUUUCCGGUAGACGA
rnacentral:rRNA from 1 species